rnacentral:lncRNA from 1 species
AAUGAUUCUUCUUUUUCUUUUUCUUUUUUUUCUAGAAUUUUUUUUCUAAAAAAUUAGUAGUAUGUUACCUGCUUUUUUUUUUUAUUUUAUUUAAAAAUAAAUUUAACUGAAAAUAUGAAUCAAUUAGGAUUUAAACUUGGAAUCUCGGUUGCCAACCACCAAGCCCUUUGUCACUUGGGUUAGGGACGGUCGGGUUUUUUUUUUUAGAAUUUUCAAAGCAGAUUCUGCACUAUCCGUCUCUAAAUUGUUAGGAAAGUUUUAUUUUGAUCCUUCAACUUUUAAGUUCGACUCCCGAGACUCCCUAUUUUUGGUUUUGUUCAAUUUAAGUUCUUAAUUUAAGAAAAUAAUUGCCCACACACGGUUGGUCUGUACAUCUCUGCAUCUAAAAAUUUAUUAUCUUCUGUCCAUCUUAUACUUUUAAUUUAACAGUCUUAUUGUGGGGAUGCUUGAUUUAAAGUAUUUAUAUUUGGAUUGAAAAUCGGAAUAAAUCAUUGUCAUUGUUAAUAUUUGGAUCGAGGAAUUGGCAUUUUGAUUUCCAUUCUCGGU